rnacentral:lncRNA from 1 species
CAGAAGCACCAACGGGAUCUGCAUCAAAAGCACCAUUGGCAGUUGUGUCAGCACCCCUUGCAGUUAUUUCAG